AUCCAGCUGACGAGUCCCAAAUAGGACAAGCGCGCGUCCUGGAU
rnacentral:hammerhead_ribozyme from 1 species